UUUCCUAGUAACCUUAAGGGCGAUUCUAGUUGGUCUAACUUGAGGCGGAUCCGGACGUACUGUGGACUAUCUACGGAGGGACGACAUUUGGAGUCCUAAAGGCUUGUUCUUGUUCGGUUCAGGCGCAGCUAGGGAGGGCACGCUACAAAGUGUAUGCUCCUAAAUUAUGCUAAAUGAUUAUGUGUAAAUAAUAUGUUUCCUGGCAUUAAGGUUUUUCCGCAUGAUUUAUGUUUUGUCAUAUGUAUCAUAACCUAUCACUACUUUCGUUGUUAAUUUUCCAACAGACCGUAUAAUGAUCGGAGAGGGAGGGUCUAUGAGGUCUUCUGGACCUGGUUGCCAUUCCGGCUCGAGAAGCAUCACUUCAGCGCGCUUACUCUCCGGUGAAAUACCAAACCUUGCUGUAAGCGCGAAACGGAAAGUAAAUGCCAUCGAGUACUUCAGAGGAGAUCCCAUGAGAUCUGCCACGUUCUUUAGUUUGAAAGAUAGGAACGCGAGGGCUAAUUUCAUUGAUCACCUUCCUUGGCAGCAUUGAAUAAGGUUGCUUAAGUUUUUGAAAGUCUUUGAAUGUCAGAGACCAUCAGUUGGUUUAUUGGAUGUCUUUCAUGUCUUUUGGUAACCAGUUGUUUAAGUUUUAAAAUGGCUUUCAUGUAUAUAUAAGUAGAGACCUACAGUUAAAAGGCAACAUUGUGUGGUUUUUAUCUAAAUAUUAUGAUCUUAAUGCAGGGCACAGCUUGAUUUACUUUGUUA